ACCAUCAUGGUGUAACGGCUAACAUGAUCGUCUCUCACAGUACUAAAUAGUACAGUAGAACACGAUAGCUCGCGGUUCGAUUCCGCGUGAUGGUG